GCUAAAUGUUCUCCGAACCCCUUCCGAGCGGAAGGCCGGCCAACGCGGAAAGUUACGUCACCGCCCGAGCCUCCAAUAGCGGCCUUCGUCGCUUAAUCUUAAAGAGGAGGUAAGCGGCUGUCGUUGGCUGCAGGGGCAAGACGGAUCUUUGAAGUACAAGCAAGACCCAGAUGUGCAGGACUGUGUGAGCUCAAGAGCCUGAGUGGGCAAUGGACUGAACCAAAUCUUAGUUCUGGUUCAUGCACCAGGCAUGCUGUAGGACGAGGUGCAACUCUGACACAAAUUCAUCUUCCUCAGCAAAAGCAUGGAGAAAUGUCUUCUGGAACUGUAGAGAGAUGUGGGCUGGCAGACUACCUCUUCCACCAGGCAGAAAGGACAGCUCUCACAGGAGGGAAGACGGCUGAGGCCCCAGAGUGAGCCUCUAGCCUAUGGCUAUGACCAUCCAGAGAAAACACUAGCUAGACUUGUGCCUCCUUGGCUUCUUCCAGGGCCCUGAAGUGCCUAUAGGAGCCAAAGGUCAACACACAGAAGUACAAGCUCUUCCCUAUGAAGGCCUUGAGGCAAGCUGGAAAGCAGGCCCGAGUGCGUGCCAGAGCUCCCUGGCCUGGAGGUGGUUCUUCUGUAACUGUGUGAAAGGUGUCUAAUUGGAGGAUUGCUCAUGGGGAUUUUUACCUUAAGAAACCAAGAAAGCUCAUGCUUUUGGCUAGAUUACAUGCUUCUACUCGAUCAGUUAGGUGGUCGACCAAUCUAUCCCAAAGACAAGUGGUCCCAGUAUUUUACAUGUUUGUGUUUGCCGCUUCCUUGGUGUUAGGGAAGAAAAGGAAAGCUAUGAAAAGCCACCUGGCUGCGGAGGGGCCCUGGGAACCUUUGGGAGGCUGAAGGCAUCGCCCUGCUGAGGCCUGCAUGCUGGCCACGCUCACAGGCUUCAUCAGCCACCACGCUCCAGCCAGGGCUGGGAGGAGGGGAGGCCACUCCCUCAGUUUUGUCCCUGACAUGUAAGCCACCAUGCCCACCCUUGAGGCCAGACAGAAAGGGCUGCCCGAUACCCAGGUUUGAGUUCCACUUUAUUGCUCAAGCACAGAACUUGAGGUAAGCCUGGACCUUCAGCAACGUGCAGAGAAGAGGCUGAGGGGUUUGGGGACACGACCUGGCUGAGAAGGGAAACUGAUCCAAAGGGAAAUACUGGUGGGGGGGAACGGGGUGGUCAUCAGGACACCA